GAUGAAGAACGCAGCGAAAUGCGAUAAGUAGUGUGAAUUGCAGAAUUUAGUGAAUCAUCGAAUCUUUGAACGCACAUUGCGCCCUAUAGUAUUCUGUAGGGCAUGCCUGUUCGAGCGUUAUUGAGACCUCAAGCUCUGCUUGGAAAUGGGCGCUUGUCUUGCCUUGCAGACUCGCCUUAAAACCAUUGGCAGCUGAUUUACAAUGUUUGGUGCACAGUACAUGAGCCCAAGUGUUGCAAUGAGUGGCCCAAAAGUAUACAAUAGAAGCUUAACCUCGGAUCAGGUAGAGAUACCCGCUGAACUUAAGCAUAUCAAUAAGCGGAGGA
rnacentral:misc_RNA from 1 species